rnacentral:tRNA from 1 species
GCACUGGUAGUUCAAUGGUAGAAUUCUUGCCUUCCACGUGGGAGACCCUGGUUCGAUUUCUGGCCAGUGCA